UACGAAGGGAGCUAGCGUUACUCGGAUUCACUGGGCGUAAAGCGCGUGUAGGCGGCAUAUCAAGUCAGGGGUGAAAUCCCGGAGCUUAACUCCGGAACUGCCUUUGAAACUAGUGUGCUAGAAUCAGACAGAGGAGUGUGGAAUUCCUAGUGUAGGAGUGAAAUCCGUAGAUAUUAGGAGGAACACCAGUGGCGAAGGCGACACUCUGGGUCUCGAUUGACGCUGAGACGCGAAAGCGUGGGGAGCAAACAGG
rnacentral:rRNA from 1 species